GGAGGAAGCCCCGGCUAACUACGUGCCAGCAGCCGCGGUAAUACGUAGGGGGCUAGCGUUAUCCGGAUUUACUGGGCGUAAAGGGUGCGUAGGCGGUCUUUCAAGUCAGGAGUGAAAGGCUACGGCGCAACCUUAGUAAGCUCUUGAAACUGGGAGACUUGAGUGCAGGAGAGGAGAGUGGAAUUCCUAGUGUAGCGGUGUAAUGCGUAGAUAUUAGGAG
rnacentral:rRNA from 1 species